AAGCAUCCCACACAGGAGCGGGAAGUGAGGCCAUUCCCACCUGAGCGGUGUGCCUGAGGGAGAGGGGUUGUGUAACGGACAGCGUCUCAUGCACAAAAGUCAAUAGUUGUGUUGUAAUCAGGAUCACAGCAGGUGAGGUUCCAGAAUCAAAUGUUGUGCAAGCACCUAGGAGCCUUGUAAAUAGAGGCUCCUUCCACCUGCAGCAGCCUCGCUGGGUCCCAGUCUCGGAGCAGCUCCUCAUCUUCUCCUGCUGCUCAGGGUCCAGCCGGCAUUCACCAUGCGGUGUCUCUGCUUCGUGCUCCUGACCUGCUUCAUCCUCUUUCCUCACUUUGGCCCAGGAGGACAAACCCCAGAGUCGUACAGAGUCUAAUUGAGGACAAACAAGGGAGAGCUUAGGAGGGUCCUCGCGGAGCAGCAGAGACAUGCCAGCCUCCACCCAGCGCAUAGACUCAGAAGAGGAGUGCGAGCGGGUUGGUGCCCAGUGUAAAUGGUUUGCUUGCCCAGAAGAUCAUGAACGUCUUGGUUCCUGUUGGUUUGGGAUAAAGAAAUGCUGUCUGCGUGGAUGGUGGGCUGAAGGACAUGGGUGGACAAGGAGCCCAGAGAUUUAAAUAAAGGGCUGACUAUAACUCUGAAAGUGCUGUGAUAUUAUUUCCUGAAAAUAAAGAAACAACCCAUGCUGCAUUUAAGAAAGUGA
rnacentral:lncRNA from 1 species